GUAUACCACAGGGGGAGCACAUGUGCUGAGAUGAACUCAUUGUUAGUUCGGACCCUUUGAACCUGUUAGUUAAUGCUAGCGUAGGGAUUGUGGCGUAGAUCUUAC
rnacentral:ncRNA from 2 species